UACGGAGGGUGCAAGCGUUGUCCGGAUUUAUUGGGUUUAAAGGGUGCGUAGGCGGCCCGUUAAGUCAGUGGUGAAAGCCUCCAGCUCAACUGGAGACGCUGCCAUUGAUACUGGCGGGCUUGAGUACAGACGAGGUUGGCGGAAUUGAUUGUGUAGCGGUGAAAUGCAUAGAUACAAUCAAGAACACCGAUUGCGUAGGCAGCUAACUAGGCUGUAACUGACGCUGAGGCACGAAAGCGUGGGGAGCGAACAGG
rnacentral:rRNA from 1 species